rnacentral:tRNA from 1 species
GCCGAUGUAGCUCAGGCGGUUAGAGUGGCUGUUUCGUAAACAGCAGGUCGAGGGUUCGAGUCCCUCCAUCGGCU